GCAACUGGUCUGUUCAAGCUCAUUGAGAACUACCUUGUGGCCAACCCAGAUGCCUACAACUAAAACCUUAAAUGAAAAUAUACUGCAUGUGCUUUCUCUGUCAUUAUAUUGGUGUGGCUUUCAUUUUUCCUUUUCUUUUUCUUGUCUAUCAAGCCAGAGCUGCUUUGGCUUGCACCUAAGGCUAUGAUAAAUUGUAAUUUUUCUAUUUGAUUUGAUUCUAAAUAAAUAAAGCAAAAAUCAGUUGCUGGUCUUUAC
rnacentral:lncRNA from 1 species